GAUAGCGAAGAGGUCACACCCGUUCCCAUGCCGAACACGGAAGUUAAGCUCUUCAGCGCCGAUGGUAGUCGGGGGUUUCCCCCUGUGAGAGUAGGACGCCGCCAAGC
rnacentral:rRNA from 3 species